rnacentral:sRNA from 1 species
GAUAAUCAAUGGGAGAGAGCGAGACUGGAGGAGGCAACGAAUAAGUCCCCACCACCUUGCCCAUAACGCGUUGCUUUCAGUCACGUUCCGCGAACUGGCGAGGAAAAUUGAAGGUCUUCAAGAAUGUAGAAAUUUGGAAAAACUAUAUUUAUAUUUUAAUAAAAUUUCCAAAAUAGAAAAUUUAGAGAAAUUAAUCAAAUUGAAGGUUCUUUGGCUGAACCACAAUACAAUUAAAAAUAUUGAGGGUUUGCAAACUUUGAAGAAUUUAAAAGAUCUCAACCUUGCUGGAAAUCUAAUAAAUAGCAUUGGUCGAUGUCUUGACUCCAAUGAACAACUGGAAAGAUUAAACCUUUCUGGUAACCAAAUAUGUUCUUUCAAGGAACUCACGAACUUAACCAGGCUGCCUUGCUUAAAGGAUUUAUGUCUGAAUGACCCUCAAUAUGAAACCAAUCCAGUUUGUCUUCUGUGUAAUUAUUCCAUACAUGUAUUAUAUCAUUUGCCUUGCCUUCAAAGAUUUGACACAUUGGAUGUGUCAGCAAAGCAAAUCAAGGAACUGGCAGAUACCACAGCAAUGAAAAAAAUAAUGUAUUAUAAUAUGCGUAUAAAAACUCUUCAGAGGCAUCUUAAUGAAGACCUUGAAAAACUGAAUGAUCGAAAAUGCAAAUUACAAAAGUUGCCAGAAGAACGAGUAAAAUUAUUCAGCUUUGUGAAGAAAACUUUGGAACGAGAACUGGCUGAACUCAAGGGCUCAGGCAAAGGGCACAGUGAUGGAUCCAAUAACAGUAAAGUAACUGAUCCUGAAACACUGAAGAGUUGUGAAACUGUCACUGAAGAACUAAGUCUUCAACAGAAGAUAUUGACCAAACUAAAUGCCUUGAAU